AACGAACGCUGGCGGCAUGCCUAACACAUGCAAGUCGAACGAGACCUUCGGGUCUAGUGGCGCACGGGUGCGUAACGCGUGGGAACCUGCCCUUAGGUUCGGAAUAACUCCCCGAAAGGGGUGCUAAUACCGGAUAAUGUCUUCGGACCAAAGAUUUAUCGCCUUUGGAUGGGCCCGCGUUGGAUUAGCUAGUUGGUAGGGUAAAAGCCUACCAAGGCGACGAUCCAUAGCUGGUCUGAGAGGAUGAUCAGCCACACUGGGGCUGAGACACGGCCCAGACUCCUACGGGAAGCAGCAGUGGGGAAUAUUGGACAAUGGGCGAAAGCCUGAUCCAGCAAUGCCGCGUGAGUGAUGAAGGCCUUAGGGUUGUAAAGCUCUUUUACCCGGGAUGAUAAUGACAGUACCGGGAGAAUAAGCGCCGGCUAACUCCGUG
rnacentral:rRNA from 1 species